UACGUAGGUGGCGAGCGUUGUCCGGAUUUACUGGGCGUAAAGAGCGCGCAGGCGGUCGUGCAAGUCGCGUGUGAAAGCCCCCGGCUCAACUGGGGAGUGUCGUGCGAUACGGUCGGACUGGAGGCCAGUAGGGGGAUGCGGAAUUCCUGGUGUAGCGGUGAAAUGCGCAGAUAUCAGGAAGAACACCCGUGGCGAAAGCGGCUCUCUGGAACGGUACUGACGCUGAGACGCGAAAGCGUGGGGAGCGAACAGG
rnacentral:rRNA from 1 species